rnacentral:rRNA from 1 species
GCGUGCGCGAUGACGGCCUUCGGGUUGUAAAGCGCUUUUCGGGGAGAUGAGGAAGGACAGUAUCCCCGGAAUAAGGCUCGGCUAACUACGUGCCAGCAGCCGCGGUAACACGUAGGAGCCAAGCGUUAUCCGAAUUUACUGGGCGUAAAGCGCGUGUAGGCGGCAUACUAAGUUGGAUGUGAAAGCUCCUGGCUCAACUGGGAGAGGACGUUCAAAACUAGUAAGCUAGAGGGCGACAGAGGGAGGUGGAAUUCCCGGUGUAGUGGUGAAAUGCGUAGAUAUCGGGAGGAACACCAGUGGCGAAGGCGGCCUCCUGGGUCGCACCUGACGCUCAGACGCGAAAGCUAGGGUAGCAAACGGGAUUAGAAACCCCGGUAGUCCUAGCCGUAAACGAUGUAGACUUGGUGUCGGUGGGGUAAAAGCCAUCGGUGCCGAAGCAAACGCGAUAAGUCUACCGCCUGGGGACUACGGCCGCAAGGUU